rnacentral:rRNA from 1 species
GACGAACGCUGGCGGCGUGCUUAACACAUGCAAGUCGAACGGAAAGGCCUCUUUCGGGGGGUACUCGAGUGGCGAACGGGUGAGUAACACGUGAGUAACCUGCCCUUGACUUUGGGAUAACUUCAGGAAACUGGGGCUAAUACCGGAUAGGAGCUCCUGCUGCAUGGUGGGGGUUGGAAAGUUUCGGCGGUUGGGGAUGGACUCGCGGCUUAUCAGCUUGUUGGUGGGGUAGUGGCUUACCAAGGCUUUGACGGGUAGCCGGCCUGAGAGGGUGACCGGCCACAUUGGGACUGAGAUACGGCCCAGACUCCUACGGGAGGCAGCAGUGGGGAAUAUUGCACAAUGGGUGGAAGCCUGAUGCAGCAACGCCGUGUGCGGGAUGACGGCCUUCGGGUUGUAAACCGCUUUCGCUCAUGACGAAGCUUUGUGUGACGGUAGUGGGUGAAGAAGCACCGGCUAACUACGUG